GGGACUUUAGCUCAUCAGUAGAGCGCUGCAUUGACAUUGCAGAGGUAGUAAGGGCAGCACUUACAAGUCCCACCA
rnacentral:tRNA from 1 species